rnacentral:rRNA from 1 species
AUUUGAGAUUUGACCUGCCCUAUGAAUUAUUUAAUGGCCGCGGUAUUUUGACUGUGCAAAGGUAGCAUAAUCAUUAGCUUAUUGAUUGUGAGCUUGUAUGAAUGGUUUGACGAAAUAUAAUCUGUUUCUUAUGUAAUAUUAGAAUUUAAAAUUUGAGUCAAAAUGCUUAAUUUUAUUUAUUAGACGAUAAGACCCUAUAGAUCUUUAUUUUUAUAUAAUAUUAUUUUUGGUUAUGAAUAUAAUAUAUAAUUUUUUUGUUGGGGUGACAUGGAGAUAGUAUAUUAAACUCUUUAUUAUUAUUAUAAACAUUUAUUUUUGGUUAAUUGAUUUAUUAUUAAUUAUUUAAGACUAGAUACCUUAGGGAUAACAGCGUUAUUUUUUUUGAGAGUUCUUAUUGACAAGAAGGAUUGCGACCUCG